rnacentral:misc_RNA from 1 species
GAUAUUUGGUGUUGUGACCUCGCUGCGCUCGUGCCCUCGUGCCCUCGUGUGAAAUGGCCGUCCCCGUGGCUGCUAUGGAGCGUUUCACACCGGAAACGAAGAGGUUUCAAGACGAGGGCAGUGCACACCCUCUCUUUCACUCUGGCCCGCGCAAAAGUGUGCUGGACUCGCCUAUGCAGCCUGUCCCUCCUCUCACCCUCUCUAACGCCAUCAUGUUCAGCUAUGCCUGCAGCAGGAAAAGCGAGGAUGACGAGAGCAGAGGCACCAUGUGGGGCGUCGAGGACAGCUGCAACAGCAGCGCCGUCAUGAGGGUCAGCUGCAUUCGUGGCGUGCACAAGGCUUCUGAAGAAAGGGAGGUGCUGUUUCCGCCUACUGAGGGUGCAAGCGCUGGCCCGCCAUCCCCCCCAGACAGCACGUUGCCCUUCCUGCAGAGCGCCGCCCUCGCCGCGACCUACAUGUUAACGAGCAUGUUCUUCGUCCUUACGAUCCGCUACACGGAGAACCACCACCAAAACUGUAACGACGCCCUCAUCAUCUUCGCCAUCGAGCUGGCAAAACUGGCGGUGUCAGUGGCCCUCAAGUACCGCGAGGACGCCGAGUUUCUGCCGGUUACGCUGCUCUUUACCGCGCAGCGGCGCGAGAUCUGGCGCGGCGGCCUCUCCUACGCUGUUGCAUCACUCCUUUACACGGUGUACAACAAUGUGGCCUUCGCCAAUCUGAAGCUGUUCCACGCCGGCACUUACCAGGUGUUCAUGCAGACCCGCAUUCUGUUCACAGGCAUCUUCUUUAGUCUUCUGCCGCACCAUGCCCUCACAGUGCGCAAGUGGGUCGCGCUCGUGUUGCUGAUGAUCGGUGUGGCGAGCAAGUAUUACUCUCCCAGUACGCUGCAGCUUGGCAGCCACGUACUCUUUAUUCUGCUUCAGGCGCUCCUGUCGUCCAUGGCAGGUGUGUAUAACGAGUACGCGCUCAAGAAGGAGCGACACCUGUCAAUUCACCAGCAGAACUUCUUCAUGUACUUGUACGCCAUCAUCUUCAACGCCGUCUUCGGCCUCCUCGCUGACCCCUCCAUCAUCACGGGAGUCUUCGCCGCGACGACGACGACGACGACCAGCACUGCGGCCGUUGCCGAACUGAACGGGAAUGCUGCACUGCCGCCGCAGCGCAGCGUCGCGCCGCUCGUAGUGCUGCUCAUCCUAUUCGGCUCUGCCACGGGGAUCUCUGCGGCGUUCAUGCUGAAGUUUGUCAGCGUGAUCGCCAAGGCGUUUGCGUCUGCUCUCGAAGUGCCGCUUACCGCGGCCGUCGCUGCUGCACUACUCGGCGAGCCCUUCACCGGCCAUGACGCAAUCGCCGCCUGCAUCGUGAUGACCUCCAUAUACAUGUACUACACGUGCGGUUGGGGUGAUGACCGCACCAUCUCGUGCCGCUCCGCCACAAGCUGACCAAUGUGUAUGUGUGUGUGUAUAUGUGUUUACUCUUUCUCAGCUGUCCGAGAUCGUUGUAGGUGUCCGCUCUGCAGGUGGCAUCACCCACGCCUCCCCCUUUAUCCAUCACGGCCAACCCACUUCCACCGCAGCCCUUGCUGCCGCGGUGUCCUUAUUUCUCCGCUCAGUCGGCUAAGCCGCUCUCUCUCUGUUCCUCUUGUGUGCACUUCUCUUCUCUCGUGCUUGUUUGCUGCAC